GAUGAACGCUAGCGACAGGCCUAACACAUGCAAGUCGAGGGGCAGCACAUGAGUAGCAAUACGAUGGUGGCGACCGGCGCACGGGUGAGUAACACGUAUGCAACCUGCCUGUAAGAGGGGGAUAACCCGGAGAAAUUCGGACUAAUACCGCAUAAUACCACGAGACUGCAUGGUUUUGUGGUUAAACAUUUAUGGCUUACAGAUGGGCAUGCGUAUGAUUAGAUAGUUGGUAGGGUAACGCCUACCAAGUCUACGAUCAUUAGGGGUUCUGAGAGGAAGGUCCCCCACACUGGUACUGAGACACGGACCAGACUCCUACGGGAGCAGCAGUGAGGAAUAUUGGUCAAUGGGCAGAGCCUGAACCAGCCAAGUCGCGUGAAGGAAGAAGGUUCUAUGGAUUGUAAACUUCUUUUGCAGGGGAAUAAAGGACGGUACGUGUACUGUUUUGUAUGUACCUUGCGAAUAAGGAUCGGCUAACUCCGUGCCCAGCAGCCGCGGUAA
rnacentral:rRNA from 1 species